UUUUGUUUGUUUUUAUUUUCAAGUUUUGGGGGCACAGGGGAGAGUUGGGGCACAGACCAAGUUGGCUCCAAAUUUCCUAUGUAGCUGAGGAGGAACUAAACACCUUACCCUCCUGACUCCAGCUCUGGGUGGGAUUAUAGACACGUGCCACCACACCCAGCAAGGAUGUGAUUAGGCAGAGACCUGCUAUGUAACUCUGAAUGGCAGGGAACUUACUCUGUAGCUUGCCUAACUGACUCACCCUUCAAGUGCUUGGAUUAUAGGCAGGAGCCACCACGCCUGGAUAACGAGGACAUUUUUUAGGCUACUUCCUUACAGCCAACAUUGUGGAGACUGGCAAUUGACUCUUGACCCUCUUGGCUCCAGUUCACAAGUGCAAGUAACAGAAUUACAACAGGUUUGUGUGAUGUUGAGACUCAAACCCAGAGUCUUCUGCAGACUAGGUAAGUACUAAACUAUAGCCCAAGGCUGGUUUUCUUCUUAAAUCUAAACAGUCUAGCAUUC
rnacentral:lncRNA from 1 species